UACAUGGGGUGCAAACGUUGCUCGGAAUUAUUGGGCGUAAAGCGCACGUAGGCGGUCCGUUAAGUCGGAUGUGAAAGCCCCCGGCUCAACCGGGGAAGUGCAUCCGAAACUGGCGGGCUAGAGUACGAAAGAGGGUCGCGGAAUUCCCGGUGUAGUGGUGAAAUUCGUAGAUAUCGGGAGGAACACCGGUGGCGAAGGCGGCGACCUGGGUCGAUACUGACGCUGAGGUGCGAAAGCGUGGGGAGCAAACAGG
rnacentral:rRNA from 1 species